rnacentral:lncRNA from 1 species
CUCAUUAACUCUGGCACACAGUUUACGAUGGCCUUCUAUGACAGGAUUAAUUGAUUCACACAUACAUUAAAACAAAAAUAACUACACUGAAAUUCAGCUGGAAGCCUGGCUCCUCGUUUGUCAUAAAGCCUGCUGUUGGUGAUAGCUGACAAAGACCCUAAUGCGGAAUGGGUUGAGGUUCCCUUACUGACCUCACCUUUGUUUCCGUCUGCGAACAAGAGCCUUGAAACACACCAGAAUGCUUUAAGUUUUUCAGGAAAACUCAUGAUCUACCUUUGAUGUGUUGACAUGUGAGAAACAGCUCUGAGACCUAUCAGCUGACAACUGCUACACCAGCAGAUAAUACUUAGUCACACUUUACAAAGGCACUUCAGUUUGCAAUUCCUGGUCUAAGAUUGAGCUUGGUUGAGAAAAGAAGGGUGAGUGGUGAAUUUGCCACUGCUGGAAGUGGAAUAGAGUGAAGGAAGAAGAAGAAAUAGUAAGGGCCAGGUUGCAAUGGAUAUAAAGUGCUUUUCUAUAUGCAACACUGGCUGUAAGAACAAUAAAG